GAGAAACUGGAAAAGCUCACCAUUUGAAACACAAAGGAGGCAAAAGGAAAAUCAGUGUUCUUGCAUUGAAGGAGGCGAUGAGGGAGCCCAAGGAUGAGAUAAGGAAGUUUGCGCAGGCGUACAAGUACAACUUGAAGCCGUUGGCGGUCAGCCGCUUUGCCAGCUUCCUGAAAAAGUAUGACACUGGUGAGGAGUACCGUCGCGAUCUUCUGCGCGACUUGUUCAGCUUGAUUGGGGAACAAUGCUGUGACAAUCGGCUCGUUGAUGAAUUGAAGGCAGAAGCAGUCAUCAGCUUGCAAGAAGCAAAGAUAAAAGGAUGCCUAGGCACCGACGGGUCAUCUUCCGUGCAAGUCGUCUCCCUGGGUGCUGUUCCCAAAGUCUUUGUCGACGAGGUAAGUAACGAACUGAGGGUGAGUAGUUCCUCGGUUGCAUUAAACCGUCUUCAGUGCCUCAAUCAACGCUAUGCACUCGCACGUCGGCGUUGCUUGCGAUGUGGCCUCUACCACAAAUCAGUGGAUCAGCAUGCGCAACAUGACAGCUCCCUGGCUCUUUUGCCCAUCUCCGCGCUUGAGGGGCUCGAUCCAGGCCUCCAAGUCGCUGUGCUUGGGCUCUUGGUCGUGCAGGAUGACGAAGUAUUCUUGGAGGAUUUAAGGGGACAGAUUAAACUGAAAUUCAGCGAGCAGUCGCGGGUCACGCCGCACGGCUUUGUGGGAAAUGGGUUCCUGACUGUGGUGAGCGGAUUCUGGGUGAACGGCACUCUCCAGGUCACUCGAGUGGACCUCCCGCCGGCAGAGCGGCGGGAGGUGACGUUGCGGGAUGCCGGCUCUAGCAUGGACCUAUUCGGGUUGGCCCCGCCCAACCCCAUGGAGGCUUUGCGAGAGGAGAAGAAGCGGGUGCAGAGCGUGAUCAUCGUCAUGGCGCACGUGCACCUCGACAAGGCGGGCACCAUGAGCAAGCUGGCUCGCUUUUUUGAGCGCAUGCAGGGCUUAAGUGAGUCAGAGCUGCGCGACGUCACUUUUGUCUUCACCGGAGACUUUUCGUCCUUCCCGCUUCACUUUGGCGACGCGUCUCACUUGCCUGAUAUCUUCGACAACUCGGACCGCUUUCAGAUCCUCUUAGACGGACUAGGUCGCUGCAUCGCCGCCAAUGCUCCCACUGCAGCACAGCACAGUCAUUUUGUGCUUAUCCCGGGCCCCAGCGACAUGACUGCCUUGCAGGGCUUUCAGCCGCAAACGCCCAUUGCCACACAAUUUGCCAAGGGUGUGGAGAGUCGAACAAAGAAGCUCACUCUUGCUCCGAAUCCGUGCCGGUUGCGCUUUCACACACACGAGGUUAUCAUCGCUCGCCGUGAUUUCCUGCGCGAUCUCCAGCGCGGCGAGUUGCUCUAUCCGUGGGACCGCUAUCGCACCACGGAGCGUACCGACGCGGCACUGGAUCAGGGCGCUUCUAGUGGGGCUGGGGCAGCCACCACAACGUCGUUUGAACGCGUUACCAAGACACUGCUAGACGAGGCACACCUGUCACCCAGCAUUGAUGAGGCGGUUUUGUGGAGAGCAGACGACGCCUUGCGCAUCCCGGUGCUGCCGCACACGAUGCUGCUGUGCGACUCAACAGAGCAAUGGGAGUGCCAUUACAAAGGCGUUCAUGUCGUGAACCCCGGCUCCUUUGCCGUCAACGGCACAUUCCUUUGGUACACCCCAGCAGACGGGCAGUGCAGCCUCAAUAGACUGGAGUAAGGAGUUGUCUUGCUGACGCAACCGCUACUCACACGUCACUGGCUGUCGCGUAGCACGCGCACUUACGCUUGCGGCUGUGUAUUGCUUCGAACGCUUCCGUGAAAGCGGGAGGGUUUCACGACCGAAGAGCCCAUUUUUUUACUAGAGGCUCGCUAUUUCUUUUUUUUUUUCCGCGCACUUUCCUGUUACCUGGUGUGCAUCGACUCAUAGAAGUUCGUGUUCAUAGAUGCGAAGGACGCGCGCGUAGUUGCUCAGUCAAAAUGAAGCGCAUCCUUUUUUUUCGUGUGCUCGCUUGACCAAGUCAAGCGAACUCUGCUUCAUGACCGCCAGUCCUUGCUGCUUUUAUUUAUUUCUGGAAUAGGCCGCUCUCACGACGAGAGGGGGGCACCUCACCGUUGCACCUCAGGGUCCAGUACAUCCACUAUGUGUGUGUGUGUGUGGAGGCCAAGCAGCACCCCCUAUCCCUGCCAAUGCCGAGCCACUUGCGGUGGUGACGCGGGGCCAGGCACCCGCGACGUGGUGGUGCCAGAGCGCUUCAUCGCUGCUCAUGCCGGCAGCCAUGUCGUGGACGGCGUUGCGUCGGAGCGGCCUGCGACAGCGAGCACGCGUGUGCCAUCCAUGUGGUGGGCAGCGUGUCAGCGCGACUCGAACGUGCCCCGCCCGGCCCUCGCACUGCCUACUGGUGGUGGGCAACCUGCGUGCCACCGCGAGGGAUGCACCAGGGAUGGCGACUGGCAUGGUGUGAGCCGCUGUGAGGCGACAUGCGAGGCGGCGGAUCGGUAGGUCUCGAGGCGGUGCUGAGCCGACGGAGUCGGUGCACUGCUGCACUGGCGCGUGUCUACGGCUGCUUUGCACCACGAGAUGGGUCUGUGACUGGCCAGGGGCAGCAGAGUGGCGCUGGGCUCCUGCUGCGCGGCAGAGAAUGGACACACACGUCAGAACGAAAAAAAAAAUGAUACGAAAAUUAGGAUACCGCAAAAGCGGAUCACACCCAAUGGAGGCUGACCGACACGCGAUGCCAUAAGUUGGCAGACGGAAACUGUCCGAUAGGACGAACGGUCGGCAGAUAAACCCAUGGAAUAGUCGUGCAUUUUCGUGCUACGCUCUCCAACUGAAGAACCAAAAGCGUUAGAUGUACCUGCUCACACAACGCGACUAGGCGUGGAAGAAAAAGUUUAUUUCGUGCUUGUCCGUCACAUCUUUCCCUUCUUAACAUCGAUUUACAUUUUCCGACGGUCUCCUCGGGCGGGUAUCUGGUGCGUGGGCGUUCGGGGAGACACAG
rnacentral:misc_RNA from 1 species